rnacentral:rRNA from 1 species
UUAUAAGAGACAGCAGUAGCCGCGGUAACACGGAGGGUGCAAGCGUUACUCGGAAUUACUGGGCGUAAAGCGUGCGUAGGUGGUGGUUUAAGUCCGUUGUGAAAGCCCUGGGCUCAACCUGGGAAUUGUAGUGGAUACUGGAUCACUAGAGUGUGGUAGAGGAUAGUGGAAUUUCCGGUGUAGCAGUGAAAUGCGUAGAGAUCGGAAGGAACAUCUGUGGCGAAGGCGACUAUCUGGGCCAACACUGGCACUGAGGCACGAAAGCGUGGGGAGCAAACAGGAUUAGAUACCCCGGUAGUCCCUGUCUCUUAUAC